UACGAAGGGGGCUAGCGUUGCUCGGAAUCACUGGGCGUAAAGGGUGCGUAGGUGGCUAUUUAAGUCAGGGGUGAAAUCCUGGAGCUCAACUCCAGAACUGCCUUUGAUACUGAAGAUCUUGAGUUCGGGAGAGGUGAGUGGAACUGCGAGUGUAGAGGUGAAAUUCGUAGAUAUUCGCAAGAACACCAGUGGCGAAGGCGGCUCACUGGCCCGAUACUGACGCUGAGGCACGAAAGCGUGGGGAGCAAACAGG
rnacentral:rRNA from 1 species